CGUAGGCGGCUUUAUAAGUCGGGGGUGAAAGCCUGUGGCUCAACCACAGAAUUGCCUUCGAUACUGUAGAGCUUGAGACCGGAAGAGGUAAGUGGAACUGCGAGUGUAGAGGUGAAAUUCGUAGAUAUUCGCAAGAACACCAGUGGCGAAGGCGGCUUACUGGUCCGGUUCUGACGCUGAGGCGCGAAAGCGUGGGGAGCAAACA
rnacentral:rRNA from 1 species